rnacentral:rRNA from 1 species
GACGAACGCUGGCGGCGUGCUUAACACAUGCAAGUCGAACGGUGAAGCGCUUGCCUUUUUGGUGGGUGUGGAUGAGUGGCGAACGGGUGAGUAACACGUGAGUAACCUGCCCUCUUCUUCUGGAUAACCUCAUGAAAGUGGGGCUAAUACGGGGUAUUCCGGGUCUGUCGCAUGGCGGGUUUGGGAAAGAUUGCGCCUUUGGGUGUUUUCGGUGGGGGAUGGGCUCGCGGCCUAUCAGCUUGUUGGUGUGGUGAUGGCCUACCAAGGCGGUGACGGGUAGCCGGCGGGGGAGGGCGGACGGCCACGAUGGGACUGAGGCACGGGCCAGCUUCGUGAGGGAGCAGGCAGUGGGGAAUAUUGCAGAAUGGGAGCAAGCCUGAUGCAGCGACGCCGAGUGAGGGAUGGAGGCCUUCGGGUUGUGACCCUCUUUCGGCAGUGAAGAAGGCCUGCUUCUGUGUGGGUGGGUUGACGGUAGCUGGACAAGAAGCGCCGGCUAACUACGUG